rnacentral:rRNA from 1 species
GACGAACGCUGGCGGCGUGCUUAACACAUGCAAGUCGAGCGGAAAGGCCACUUCGGUGGUACUCGAGCGGCGAACGGGUGAGUAACACGUGAGUAAUCUGCCCCUGGCUUUGGGAUAGCCACCGGAAACGGUGAUUAAUACCGGAUACGACCACUUCUCGCAUGGGAUGGUGGUGGAAAGUUUUUUCGGCCAGGGAUGUGCUCGCGGCCUAUCAGCUUGAGGGUGAGGUAAUGGCUCACCAUGGCUUCGACGGGUAGCCGGCCUGAGAGGGUGACCGGUCACACUGGGACUGAGGCACGGCCCAGACUCCUACGGGAGGCAGCAGUGGGGAAUAUUGGACAAUGGGCGGAAGCCUGAUCCAGCAACGCCGCGUGAGGGAUGACGGCCUUCAGGUUGUAAACCUCUUUCAGCAGGGACGAAGCGCAAGUGACGGUACCUGCAGAAGAAGCACCGGCCAACUACGUGCCAGCCGCCGCCGUAA